UCUUGCGACCGUACUCCCCAGGCGGCGAACUUAACGCGUUAGCUUCGAUACUGGGUGCCAAGUUGCACCCAACAUCCAGUUCGCAUCGUUUAGGGCGUGGACUACCAGGGUAUCUAAUCCUGUUUGCUCCCCACGCUUUCGUGCCUCAGUGUCAGUGUUGGCCCAGGAUGCCGCCUUCGCCACGGAUGUUCCUUCUGAUCUCUACGCAUUUCACUGCUACACCAGAAAUUCCGCAUCCCUCUACCACACUCUAGUAAUCCAGUAUCCACUGCAAUUCCCAGGUUGAGCCCAGGGCUUUCACAGCAGACUUAAACCACCACCUACGCACGCUUUACGCCCAGUAAUUCCGAGUAACGCUUGCACCCUUCGUAUUACCGCGGCUGCUGGCACGAAGUUAGCCGGUGCUUAUUCUUUGGGUACCGUCAUCCCCACCGAGUAUUAAUCGACAGGAUUUCUUUCCCAACAAAAGGGCUUUACAACCCGAAGGCCUACUUCACCCACGCGGUAUGGCUGGAUCAGGCUUGCGCCCAUUGUCCAAUAUUCCCCACUGCUGCCUCCCGUA
rnacentral:rRNA from 1 species